UACGUAGGGGGCUAGCGUUGUCCGGAUUUAUUGGGCGUAAAGGGCGCGUAGGCGGCCUGCUAAGUCGGAUGUGAAAUCCCUCGGCUCAACCGAGGAACUGCAUCCGAUACUGGCGGGCUUGAAUCCGGGAGAGGGAUGUGGAAUUCCAGGUGUAGCGGUGAAAUGCGUAGAUAUCUGGAGGAACACCGGUGGCGAAGGCGGCAUCCUGGACCGGUAUUGACGCUGAGGCGCGAAAGCUAGGGGAGCAAACAGGG
rnacentral:rRNA from 1 species